rnacentral:lncRNA from 1 species
AAAUUACGUUUAUCUCUUUUUCUCAUUGGAUAUCAAAAUGUUAUAAAUAUUAUUUACUGGAUAAAGUUAUAAUACGUCUUAUUCACAUGGUCCGUAUACCUGCACACCACGUAUUUUGUUGAGGGGGGUACACUCAUUAAUAUAAACUUAGGAGGCGGGUACAUGUCGUGUACCGUCCACUACACCGAUGCCGAUAACGUACUUAGCAAUCGCAGAUGCGUAAAAUGUAAUUAGUAAUGAAUGACGUAAAUCAAACACCCGUAUACGGUACACGCGAAGUCAAAUGGCGUAUGGACAGGCGGCGUCCGCACGUCUUCUCAAACGAGAGUAACGAUCGAAAGCACACGCGACCAACGACGACAAAUGACGCGUCGUCGAACUCACACCAGCUUAACGCAGAACGCCACUGCCCGUCCGUAUCCCGAAGCAACAGUUGUGUUCACUGUUCAGCGCCUUUAAUUAUUAUCGUCACACAGUAUGGUAUCACUCAUCAGGCACUUGUUAUCAUAUAUGGUGUCUCACCACAAUACUCCCUCUCUGCGGCCACACUGCUGCGGAUGGCGACGGCGACCCGUGUCCGUCAUAAUAUCCCGGCGUCUUCACCACGGUUGUAGAUAUAAUAAUAUCUUAAACUGUGGUCUUCACUGACGUCGCGGCGUCCCGGGCCCACAGAUCUAUAAACAUACGUUGUACACAUAUAAUAAUAUGUCUAUAUAUCUGUGGCCGGGCCCUGAUUCAGCGGCAUCGAGAUAAACGAUACUAUUUUUUUUUUUUAUAGUUUGUUGUAAAUUGUUUAUCUAUCUCGAUAUCAUGUUCAGCGGUAACAAACGAGUACGAACGCGUUAUCUCGCGCGUAUACGCGACGUUCCGUGGCCCGUCUACAUUCUCGUAUAAAUUGUGCUCGCACGAAAACCCGUCUUCUAUUUUUUUUUUGUUUACGAAAACAAACGAGUGCGACGACCCGGUGCUCUCAGAAAUCGCGUCGUUUUCCGCGCUUCAUUAAGUGUCGGUUCGUCGGCCUUUUCUUCGUGUGUUUUACGUACGUAGUCGACGUUCCAUUAAUCGUUUUCGUACUUGAGCGUACUUGAGGAUGUGCUGGAGUUUGGCGCCCGCGUACCUAGACUGCCGAGUUCUCCCGGUCUAACCGCAGAACGCUCAAAUGACGUCGUCGUGCCCUUUUAUUUGGUGUGUUGUCAAACACCUUUAUUGUGGUCGUGAGUUUCCGUCGCGCUCCACGCACGCGCAAAGUCUACACCACCGCCGUCCACCAUUCCAAUCGUCACCAGCCAGUAGUGCUAUCAAUUUCCAGCGUCGUCGUCCGUGUCUCACCAAAUCGACCAGUUAAUUUUAAACAGAUAUGGUCCAAGGAAAUGGAUAUUGAAACUUCUGCUACUGAAAAUGAAUAUGUAAAGCAUGUGUGUCGAAAAAAACGUAUAAUAUGAGUUCAUAUCCAGAUGACAGCUAUAUUUAAGCUAUUUAACUGGCGAUCAAGUAUCUAGUGAAAGUUCAAUCGAGGCAUAUGUAAGGUGUUUACGCUGUGGAUGUCACUGUAUAGAAUUAGAUUGUUGGAAUAGACCAGACGGACUGCCAAUAAUAUACCAUGGGCAUACAUUAACCAGUCGUAUACAAUUUUUAGAUGUCUUAAAAACGAUUAAAGAACAUGCUUUAAUUGCUUCGCCAUAAGGAAAAUAUUAUUAUACAGGCAUUUAUUAAUCAAUUAAUAAUAACUAAAAUUUUAGGUAUCCAGCUAUUUUGUCAAUAGAAGACAACUGUUAAAUACCACAACAGCGAAAUAUGACAUCAACUAUGAUUGAAGUAUUAGGGGUCAAUCGUUACAGAACACACAUCUACUAACGGAGUUCAACUCUGAAAGUCGCAAACUACAAGAAGAAAAAUGAAACUACCACAUGACGAACUGGAACCCUUGACAAGAUAACCCAAUUAUAACAGAAAUGCUCCGAAGAAAAACCUUGAUUGCCCGCAAGCAACAUUUUGGAGUAGACAGUGCUACCUUGGUAGUUAAGGACAUUGAUUUAAGAACCACAAAAUAAAAUGGAAUACUUUAUCUAGAAGAAGAUCUGCUGGAAAAAUAAUGGAGACCUCAUUUUUUUGUAUUUUCUGGUAACAAGCUUUAUUCUACAGACCUAUGUAAAUCAGAUAUUGGUAAUAAAGAUGAAGCAGAUGGAAGAUAGUUGGAAAUUAGUAAUCUAUCUAGUGAAAAUCGAUUAAGAGAAGGUAUACCUAAUGAUGAAUUACAUUUUGGAGAAUACUGGUUUCAAGGAAAAUUAGCUCGUGAUAGAAAUGAAGCUGAAGAACUAUUGAAACAGUAUCCGCAUUUUGGAGUCUGUAAAUUUCUUGUAAGACAAAGUGAUACAUCAUUGGCCAUUAUUCUCUAUCAUUCAGGCAUCAAGGUAAAGUAAACCACUGCAGAAUAUAUUCAAAGCAUGAUAGAGGUCAAAUAAUUUAUUAUUUGAUAGAUGGUGCUGCAUUUGACAGUUUAUAUAGUUUGAAAACUUAUUAUCGUACGUACCCAUUACGUAUACAAGUAAACUGCUGUAAGUUUAAAAUUUCACGUUCAAGUUUAAAUACAUCAUAUUAUAAUCAUCUCAUAAACCAGCAUUUCCCAACCUUUUUCCCUCACGGCCCACUACCUAUGGAUGCCUCACGGCACACCAAUGUGCCACGAAAUGUUAAAUUUUGAUAAUAAGUUAAAAUAUAUUGAAGUAAAACCAGUUCCAAAUUUCUCACGAGGACUAGAUUUGUAUAAUACAAUUGUAAAUAAUUGUAAUGGAAUGUCUCUAUUUUUCCAUAUCAAUAAAUUAAAAUAUUACUUUACAUGAGUUUUCCUAGCCUAAAUAAACACACCAUUUAAAAUUAUUUGCUAGAAAUUUACUAAUUUCCUACUUUUUUGGUAUUAAAGAGAUAAAGCCUAAUAUCCUAAUAUCUUAAUAUUAUAUAUCAAACAUAUACAGUAUAAGCCAGUGUCAAGUGUGCAACAACUAAAAAUGAUUAUGACUAUUGGGCCGUGAGGGAAAAAGGUCGGGAAAUGCUGGUUUAUGAGAUGAUUAUAAUAUGAUGUAUUUAAACUUGAACGUGAAUUUUUAAAUUUACAGCAGUUUACUUAUUGUAAAUUGUUCUAAUAGAAUGUGUUAGAUUCAUGGUUAAAAACUAUAUUUUUUGUAUUUAUCACUGAUAUAUUAUCUACGUUGUUACAAUAAGAAAUGCGUCUUUAUCAUUAAAAUGUAAUAACAAAAGUUUUAUUUUUUUAACUAUUGUCUUAAAUUAUAAUAAUUUCUAUAUAUUUUUACAUUUAUGUAGAUAGAAAUUUAUGUAGCUUAUGGUCCAACAACUAUAAUUUGUGUAAAUAAAUAAGUGCUAUAUAUUUUUUAUGUAUAACAUCAAAUAUCAAAGAAAGUCAAGUACUGUAAAAUGUAUCAAACCCGUUUGGGUAAAUUGUAACUGUGUUAUCUUUGUAUUAAGUUUAAAUUAUUUAUUGUAAUUUUAUUAACCUAAGUCAUAUGCAUUUGAUAAUUGUUUAAUAUUUUUAGGUAUCUAUAUCUAAUAAUUCCAAGAAAUUAUAUUAGAACCUCUAACAGAGGUUACACCAGAGAGCAAAUAAUACAUUUUUCUCAUGAAGUAAUCUCAUAUAUUUAAUGUUUUGUUAUUACUAUAUAAAAACAGUUGGUUAAAAAAAAAAUGUUGUGUUAUAAAUAAACAGGAGUUAUUAUAAAGGUUAACUUUUUGUGUGUUACAAUUUACCCUACCUUGUGUUUACUGGGCAUUUUUUUAACCUUUGUAAUAAUAAUGUAUUAAAUCGUAUAUUUUUAAGGCAU